UAGCUCAGAUGGUAGAGUAUCUGCCUGCAGUGCAGGAGACCCAGGUUGGAACCCUGG
rnacentral:tRNA from 1 species